rnacentral:lncRNA from 10 species
CCUUUCCGGUGUCUUGGGUCCCUUCCUGAGAUGUUCUCUGCAGCCUUCUGCAUGGCGUUCAACAUCAUUUCCUUCAUCAACAGUCGAGGAUUACGGUCCCAUAAUAACAACAGUAAUUAACGUUUAUUAGCAUUUCCCAGGUGCUGACCUUUGCACCCGUUCUCCCACUGAUGGUCAUUUGGUUUAUUUCCAACUUUUCCUACUAUGCACAGUGCUAAAUUAAACCACCUGAUACCACCAAUCUGCACACGUGGGCAGGUACAUGCAAGAUCUGCAGCAGGGUCUGGAAUAACGUCCUUUAGUUACAACGUUGAUGAUAAAAAGUUGAUUCCCUUCUGCACCCACUGCCUGUGUGGAGUUUGUGUGCUCUCACGACUCCGUGGGCUUUCUCUGUACUCUGCUUUCUUUCACAUCUCCGAGAUGUGCACAUUCAGUGAACUGGACAUCUAAGUGGUCCCAGUCUGACCAGGUGUGGGUGCGAGUGUGUCCUGUGAUGGAACGGCGUCCUGUCCAGGCUUUGUGCCCUGGGAGAGGCUCUAGCCACCUGCGACCUUGAACUAGAAUAAGCGGGCUGGAAAAUGAAUGAAUACAAGUAAUUGUCAACUAAAAACUGUUGAAGUCUACAACAAUCACACAAAUGCAUGACAAUAAAUGAUGGGAUCCGAAUGCAGCCUGAGCCCGACACUUCUGUUCUUGUUUGGUUUUGAACUGUGUGGUGGUAGGAGGUGCUGUGGCAUACCCUCGAUAGCUGCGGGGAGUGGGGGGAAGGGGGGUCCUGAAGCAGACCGUUCAGGUGUGGCUUGUGCACACACCCCUUGACACCCAAGUGCCACAGGGGACCCCAAAUUCCGUCCCAGCUGUGCAUCUGCAAAGCUCAAAUGGACUCUUGUUUCAAAUUCGACCUAAUCGGUGGCACAGAAAAGCUGUGAAGAUCGUCCCCAGAGAAACCGAGCGGCAGCAGGCCCUGGAACAGGCAGAGAUUGUGCUGUUCUGUCCUGUCCCUCCCUUUGGGUGACAGAGAACCACGAACGUCUGUGUCCUCAGAGGGUCACGGGACACGUUCCAGAGGGGGGUGGUGGGGAGCACAGUGAGCACAGAACAUGGUAUUUUCAAUCCAGGCUGUACUGGCGAGGAGAGAGAGUCUCUGUGCCCAGCCCUGCUGAUCCCCCCCGCUAUCAGGGAGGAACUGUUUUCAGGGACAGUCUCACCACCCUGUGAAGAAGGAUCCAUUUCCGUCAGCACCCUGCCUUUCAUGCUCCUCCCUGCUGUUGAGCAGCGUGUGCUCCCUCCCUGCGCCCACGCUGCCCACCCCCUGUUGGCAUGGCCUCUGGAAGCUGCGGACUUGCAGGGACUGAAUGUGUGUGCAGGUACAGAGUGGCCCAGACGAGGACGUGCCUCCCGUCUGCUGGGCUGAAAAGCUGUGGCAGCCCCAGACCCGCCUGAAAAGCACUGCUUUUGCCCAAGAGGAUGGACAGAUUGUCACAGCUAUGGUUAUCAUAAGUGGCCUGUGGCUUUGUGAGGUAUUAGCCUCAGGGAGCUGAGUGGAGACACACAGGCCUGCCCUGUGCUGUUUUUGCAACUUUCCUGAAAAUCUAAAAGUGUUCUAAAAUAAAAGGUAAAAAAUGCCACGGUUGGCUGGGCACAGUGGCCCAUGACUGUAAUCCCAGCAUUUUGUGAGGUUGAGUGAGGCAGGUGGAUUGCUUGGGCACAGGAGUUUGGAAGCAGCCUGGGCAACAUAGCAAGACCCCAUCUCUACAAAAAAAUAUAAAAGUCACACCUGUGAUCCCAGCACUUUGGGAGGCUGAGGCGGGUGGAUCACGAGGUCAGGAGUUUGAGACCAGUCUGGCCAAUAUGGUGAAACCCCAUCUCUACUAAAAAUACAAAAAUUAGCCAGGUGUGGUGGCAUGUGCCUGUAGUCCCAGCUACUCAGGAGGCUGAGGCAGAAGAAUCACGUGAACCCGGGAGGCGGAGGUUGCAGUGAGCCAAGAUUGUGCCACUGCACUCCAGCCUGGGCGACAGAGUGAGACUCCGUCUCAAAAAUAAACAAAUAAAUAAAUAAAAAUUUUGUUAAAAAGGGCAUGGUGGCACAUGCCUGUAGUCCCAGCUAUUUGGGAGUCUGAGGUGGGAGGAUCAUCUGAGCCCAGGGAGGUCAAGGCUGCAGUGAGCUGUGAUUGUGCCACUGUACUCCAAUCUGGGUUACCUUGUCUCAAAAAAAAAAAGAA